GACGAACGCUGGCGGCGUGCUUAACACAUGCAAGUCGAACGGCAAGGCCCUGCUUUUGUGGGGUGCUCGAGUGGCGAACGGGUGAGUAACACGUGAGUAACCUGCCCUUGACUUUGGGAUAACUUCAGGAAGCUGGGGCUAAUACCGGAUAGGAGCUCCUGCUGCAUGGUGGGGGUUGGAAAGUUUCGGCGGUUGGGGAUGGACUCGCGGCUUAUCAGCUUGUUGGUGGGGUAGUGGCUUACCAAGGCUUUGACGGGUAGCCGGCCUGAGAGGGUGACCGGCCACAUUGGGACUGAGAUACGGCCCAGACUGCUACGGGAGGCAGCAGUGGGGAAUAUUGCACAAUGAGCGGAAGCCUGAUGCAGCAACGCCGCGUGCGGGAUGACGGCCUUCGGGUUGUGAACCGCUUUCGCCUGUGACGAAGCGUGAGUGACGGUAAUGGGUAAAGAAGCACCGGCUAACUACGUG
rnacentral:rRNA from 1 species